rnacentral:rRNA from 1 species
GAUGAACGCUAGCGGCAGGCCUAACACAUGCAAGUCGAGGGGGAAGUUACUUUCGGGUGACUGAGACCGGCGUACGGGUGCGUAACGCGUAUACAAUCUGCCUUUCACUGGGGGAUAGCCCGAAGAAAUUUGGAUUAAUACCCCAUAGUAUAUAGGGACGGCAUCGUUUUUAUAUUAAAGCUUAGGUGGUGAAAGAUGAGUAUGCGUUCUAUUAGCUAGUUGGAGAGGUAACGGCUCCCCAAGGCGAUGAUAGAUAGGGGUUCUGAGAGGGAUGUCCCCCACACUGGUACUGAGAUACGGACCAGACUCCUACGGGAGGCAGCAGUGAGGAAUAUUGGACAAUGGUCGGAAGACUGAUCCAGCCAUGCCGCGUGCAGGAUGAAGGUCCUAUGGAUUGUAAACUGCUUUUGUAAGGGAAGAAUAAGGGCUACGCGUAGUUUGAUGACGGUACCUUACGAAUAAGCAUCGGCUAACUCCGUG